UGACGAGUGGCGGACGGGUGAGUAACGCGUAGGAAUCUGUCUAUUGGUUUGGGACAACACGGGGAAACCGUGCUAAUACCGGAUAAGUUCUAAGGAAGAAAGCGGGGUAUUUAUAUCUCGUGCCGAUAGGUGAGCCUGCGUUGGAUUAGCUGGUUGGUGGGGUAAAGGCCUACCAAGGCGACGAUCCAUAGCUGUUCUGAGAGGAAGAUCAGCACACUGGGACUGAGACACGGCCCAGACUCCUACGGGAGGCAGCAGUGGGGAAUAUUGGACAAUGGGCGCAAGCCUGAUCCAGCAAUACCGCGUGUGUGAAGAAGGCCUGAGGGUUGUAAAGCACUUUCGACGAGGAGGAAGGUAGUAAUGCUAAUACCAUUGUUAUUUGACGUUACUCGUAGAAAGAAGCACCGGUAACUCUGUGCCAGCAGCCGCGGUAAUACAGAGGGUGCAAGCGUUAAUCGGAAUUACUGGGCGUAAAGAGUGCGUAGGCGGAUCAUUAAGUCCUAUCGUUGAAAAAGCCCCCCGGGGCUUUAACCCUUGGGGAACUUGCAUUCUUGAUACCUGGGUUAGUUCUAAGAGGGUACUCGGGUACGACGGACUAGG
rnacentral:rRNA from 1 species